AUUUGUAUUAUUGUAGCUUGUGGUAUGGGUGAGUGAUAGAUGAGUGAUAAGCUGACUGGGUGAAUAUAGUGUGGAACUGGGCUAUUGAGUGGAUGAUUUGUCAUUAAUCGCUGAGAGAGAAUCAUUGAACAUUCAGUUUGGGAAAGACUUGGUAGAAGUGUAAGACUUUGUGGAAGUUCGGGUUAUUGUUUAACCCAGCUUGUGUGGUAUCUGUUGAGACCAACAACGGGAUGAGCAGCGAGGGGCAAUGUUAGAGUUUGACCAGGUGAUUGGGCUGCGGAAUUAUGUGAAGAAGGGACGAGGAAACUGACGUUGAUGUUAAUUCAUGGAAGUUGGGUACAGCUGAAGUGGAAAUUGAAGUUCCACAUGUGGGCUACUUAUUAGCCAUGAUGUUGUGGUGGUGAAUAACAAGUGUAUUGUUAUCGUGCAGCAUCUCGGUGAAUAACAAGUGUAUUGUUAUUGUGCAGCAGAAACAUAUUGUGUAAAUAUGGAUGUAGUAUUUAGAGCUGAUCUGAAAUGGAGGGUGCUAACUAAUGUUAGUACAUAAUUUAGUUAGAACAAUAUAUGUAUAUAAAAGGUGAUCACGAGGAAGUGAAUCAUAAGGAUUGUGGUAUGAACUGAAACAUUUUAUAUUGAACUGUGUGGUUUUAGUAUAUUAUUUUGUGUGUUGUGAUACGUGAUAUUUUUAUAUGAAAUUAUGUGUAAAGUGGUGAUAAUGUAUGUUUAUUAUAUAUGAGAAGUGUGAGUGUUGAGGGAGUGCUGGUGAUUAGUGGUAUGUGAGAGGGAUAUAAUUAGGGUUAGUAAGUAGGAGUGGAGAAUGAAUGUGAUUGUUAUUUGGGUGCUGUAAAUAAAUGUAAUAUAAUUUA
rnacentral:lncRNA from 1 species